rnacentral:lncRNA from 1 species
UCAACGGCACGCGGGACAGCGGCGCUGCAUGAGCGCCCCUGGUGCGGGCGGCCAGGAGCCGUGCUGGUGGCGGUGGGGCGCGGCCGCAGGAGGCGAGCGCGACACUGGGGAGGGGGGCAUCACGGUGCACCUGGUGAGUUCUCCGCGUGGCUCAAUGGGGCCGCUAAGCAGGUCGCAGCGCACCGCCCCUCGGCCCAUCGCCGCCGACAAGCUCCCCGCCACGGUGGAGGAUGGAGCGC